UUAUCCAUUAUUGCUUCUUUGGCAGCAAGGUACAAAAAGUUCAGGGAAUUUCAGGGAUGACAGGCUAAAGGGCUGGGGCACAGGCAGUGUCUUCCCCUUCCCUUCCAUCAGCAGAGAACAACGCUGAAAGGCGCAGCCUGAACGGUCAGCGGCUCAGAGGCUGCCGCCACGGGGAGACGGGGUUUCUCCGUCACGGGAUGGGCCUUCACAACCCCCGGCCUGCCGGCUGCGACCCUUCCCGGAGGGCAGUGCGAGCCCGCAGCCAGCCGGGCGCAGCGCAGCGGCUCGAGCCGCACCGCCACGGCGGCGGAGGGGCGGCCCGGCCGCGUGAGGCUCGCCCGUGUGGCGGCAGUUCCAGAGCCGGAGGAACGGUUCGGUCCCGCCAGAGGGAGCCGGAGACCGCCGGCCCGCGGCUGAGGUGAAGGUUGCAUGGUCUGUCAUCUCUGGAAUUAGUAACACCUGUGGGAGUGAGACUAUCCUGUGAGUUUCCUUCUCCUGUUGCAGCUCUGGGAAGACCAGCUUCCACAUCCUCAAGCAUACUUCACUCAGAAGAUGAUGCUUUAAUUAAGAACAAGCGAAUCAGUGAGAUGCUGGAUAUUCUGUUGUGGGCUGGAGUUGUCACACAGGUGCUACAGAAGAGAUCAAGGUGCAGGUUCUUCUAAUUGUGGCAUCUUAUCAAGCUCCCAUUUGAAAUGAGAGAACGAAGCAAUGCAGCAGAGCAAGAUUUAAGCAGGAAGCUUGACUGAAACAACAAGUACUGCUCGUAGAAAUUCUGUUGUGCCUCAGACAGAAACUCACAUUUGCUCCUCACUGUCACUGUACUUGUCUUCAUUACUCUUUCUCCCCUCAAUAUUUUCCAAAUAAAUUGUGUUAAGACUGUCAGAGUCCAAUCCCAGUCUCUCUCAAUCUCUUGUCAUGAACGUGCAGACUGGCAUCCGCAUGGCUUCACUAACAAUCAUGGUGGCUCUUUCAUGGCAUUUUGGGAAGCAGGUGAGGAGCUGUAAACCCAGCAGAGAUGUGUGCUGAGAAAGAAUAACAGGAGGAAGAAGGGAUGGGAGACUUGUACGGGAAGAAGCAGCCCUCCUCUGUUGCUGCCUGCUUCAAGAAUGAGAUGAAUCCGUUUAAUCUCUGGUUUGAUGACAGCUUUUGAGGCACUCAAUCAGUUUUUUUCUUUUUCAUAAAGAACUCAUCCCACUGACAGACUGACAUUUACGAUCUCAACUGCCUGUCCAAACACCAGUAACAGUAAUAAUUAAUGAACCCUCAAACUUCACUGCCAUCUACUCCAAAACCAUUUUAAAAGCAGCAUGAGCUGUUAAAACCUCUGUCCGUGAAGAGCCUCACACAGGUACAGACAGUACCUACGUAACAAGGAUUAACUCCAGUUUGAGCAAUGCUCUGUCACCAGCUUCUAGGGCUGUUUCCCCCAUUUUUCCUCAUUAUUCCAUUUUUAGAUGAGGGAUUACUUAAUUCCCUGGCACGUUGACUAUGCAUUAUAAACAUCUAGAGGAAACUGCUUCUUUACAAAUCUUUCCCAUUACAUUUACCAGAAUCAUUAUUUAAAAUCAUCUCCUCUACUUCAACUGAACCUAAAAUUAACACAGUUAUACCACAGUUACAUGCUUGUUGACUACUAAUGAAGAGUGAAAAGUUCAAGAUUAACAUCUUAGAAGCUGAGUUUGACAGCUAGGACUACAAUUCUUCCCUGCUGCUGUUCAAUGCUGUGAAAACCUUUAUUUUCAAACUCUGGUAUUUGCAUUGAGAUGAGCAUCUUAAUCCCAAGUGUAAUCAAGACUGCACGUUAAGACUGUCAGAAACCUGAGCGCACAUCUCUCUGGAAGCACUUAAAUUUAUUUUGGAAAUCCACUUCAGAUUUUCUUAAAACACUACAGAAGUCUCAAAUUCUUAGACAAAGCCUUAACAAUUGUGUGGUAACAACCACACAAUCUCUUUUCUACUAUCACUGCAGUGUCCUUAGCAUCACCGUUUCAUUCAUUUAUUUCCCCUCUUCAUAUAGUUUUAAAGUGAUGGGGAUGCAGUAAUGCAGCCUCACUGUUGAGAGGCUAUUGAAACAGCCCCUACAAAAGUCAAGUCCUGUCAGUCCCUUCUUUGCUUCAGAAAGCUUCUAAUGAAAUCACCACAGAGACUACAAGUAACCCCAAGAAGCAGUGUUACAGAAAUGAUUUCCAUACCAAUUCACAAAACCACAGCAGUUGUUUCCUGCAGCUCUUGUAAGUAAAAACAAAAAUGAACAAAUUGUAGCCUAGUUGUUUGGGAUACACACAAUGGGAAGAGUUACUCUAAGAUAUUCCAACUGUAAAACAUCACAAGUGAGCCAGUAAAACUCACCGCCUCCCCUUUGCCAAUCUAUUACCAUUAGCAUACACUUUCAGGAGAACAGAGGAAUGUGAUCACUUAAACAAUUUCAUUAGGUAUUUAAUUUAUACAUUAGAAAGCACUUAAAAAAAUUUUUUUUUUUACUUUGAUUUUUUUUUUACUUUUUUUCAAACUGUAGGUGACGUCCAGCACUAAGACAAGUUGCCCAGAGGGGUUGUGAGGCUCCAUUCUGAGGGUACCCAAAAUCUGACUGGAUAAGAUCAUCUCCAUAGGCCCCUCCCACCCUCUGCUAUUCUGUGAUGAUAUGAUUUCUAGAUGGGAGAAUGUGUCUAUAUAUAUGAAAUAUAUAUUGCACCAAUAUAUAAAUAUAAGCACUAGCUCCUUCUUACCUCUCUUACAUUUCCUCCUCUAAGCCUGUAUUGUUGGUACUAUUAUCAGUCAAAAGGAAGCAUGCUGUACUGCAGUGUAACUUAAUGAGCCCGUUAACUGCCAUCUCUAAUGAAACGGAAGAGGCUCAUCCAGAACCAGCAACAUAAAUGAAUGAAAUGCAAGUUGAAAAUAGUACGACUAACAGGGAUAACACAGGAUACUGCAUGCAUUUUAUGUAAGUUAUAAUUAGAGUGUGAAAAUGCAUAUUAUUCCUUCCUGUCAAGAAAUUUCAUAAUUGCUAAAUUAAGCAAAUAGUGAACUAGUUUUCAUCUCAUAUGUAGGCUUCAGUACUAUGUCUGUUUCAUGGUUAAAUUCUUGCAUUACUCCCUUCCUCGUACAUCUUUGAUGUCAGGAUGUCUUCAGUUAAUGGAAAUAUUAAUUUAUUUCUUAAACAUUUUUACUUAUACACCAAUUCAAACAAGUACGUAUUUAAAUGUACUCAGGCACUCGUACUGUCCAGUUCCUUGUUUGUUUAAAAGCUGAAGCCAGAGAGGGUCAUUCCCUGACUCACAUCAAAGCGUGAUGCCUCUACGCUUCCGGAGCCCUCAACAACUGAUCGGUUUGCAAAGGCAGAGGAAGCUGGCUAGUGCUGCUGAGCUGUCAGCCUAGUGCUUGCUGCCCAUCUCUUGUUGGGGGCGUGAACAGCUGAAUGAAAUAUUUGUACGUUAUGCUUUUUAGAAAUUAUACCUUAGCAACUUUGGGUUAGAGUUGGAGAAAGGAUAAAGGCAGAUUCAGUUCAACACUGAAUCAUAAGAACAAGAUUAUUAAGUGAAGGAAUAAUGCACAAAUAUCAAGAGCUAAGUGGAAAAACAGAACCACAAAAAGGAAGGAAAAAACCACAACACAGAAAUAUGUAUGAUGAAAGAAAGAUGAAGGUCAAAUGCAGACAUCUCUGCCAUUCCACAGCACCUGAAGACUACGCGCCAGUAUUCAAAUAUAGAAUCACAGAAUCAUAGAAUCAUAGAGUCAAGGUUGGAAACGACCUGCAAGAUCAUCUAGUCCAACUG